rnacentral:rRNA from 1 species
CCUACGGGAGGCAGCAGUGGGGAAUAUUGGGCAAUGGAGGAAACUCUGACCCAGCGACGCCGCGUGCGGGAUGAAGGCCUUCGGGUUGUAAACCGCUUUCAGCAGGGAAGAAGCGAAAGUGACGGUACCUGCAGAAGAAGCACCGGCUAACUAUGUGCCAGCAGCCGCGGUAAUACAUAGGGUGCAAGCGUUGUCCGGAAUUAUUGGGCGUAAAGAGCUCGUAGGUGGUUCGUCACGUCGGAUGUGAAAAUCUGGGGCUUAACCCCAGACCUGCAUUCGAUACGGGCGAGCUUGAGUAUGGUAGGGGAGUCUGGAAUUCCUGGUGUAGCGGUGGAAUGCGCAGAUAUCAGGAGGAACACCAAUGGCGAGGGCAGGACUCUGGGCCAUUACUGACACUGAGGAGCGAAAGCGUGGGGAGCGAACAGGAUUAGAUACCCUGGUAGUCCACGCCGUAAACGGUGGGCACUAGUUGUGGGGACCUUCCACGGUCUCUGCGACGCAGCUAACGCAUUAAGUGCCCCGCCUGGGGAGUACGAUCGCAAGAUUAAAACUUAAAGAGUAGUAGACGNGAGACGUGCGACGACGACACAGGGAGGAGG